CAGUGACGCGUUCCGCGCGUGCGUGACGCCGGUGUCGUCCAUUUUGCAUUAUGUCUGACUUGGCUGCACAACCGCUGCAAAACUCCGGCAACUUUUCUCAGAGCCCUGCGUUUGCUGACGCUCUUCAGAGAGCCAAGCAGAUUGCUGCCAAAAUAAAUCCUGGUGUAUCUCCAGUAGGCCAGAAAAGACCUCUUGAGGGUGAUAUGGAUAAUAUGGGUCCAGAGGGCAAGCGGCCGGCCGGCAUGGGCGACCAGUUCG